UUCAAUUGUCUAAUUGUUGUUAUUAAACUUUCUCAGUAUUCCAUUAAAACAGUCAACACUUUUAUCCAAAGCGACUUACGAUAAGUGCAUUCAACUAUAAGGUUACGAACACAGAACAGCGUGAAUCAUGUGUGUAAAUGUACUAAACACCGCUGCUCACGUCACCCGCUCGCGUCAUCAGCUGAUGGACUCGUCCAAUCAGAGCCUCGUAAACGCCGUGCAGCAGCGUCGAGUGUCCCGCAGACAGGAAGCGGGUCGUGUUUAGCUUGUCCCGUACGAGUGACUCUGUCUUCGGGGUAAAUAACUUGCUGAAGUCGACACGACGCUGUUCCCUGGAGGAGAAGAUGAGUGCGUGUGGAGGCAGAGCCGCGGGCCCGGUGUGGACGGGUCGAGGCGGAGAAGACGGAAGCACAGUCCCUGAGUUACGCCUCAGCCCCCCCCCCUCCACACACACACACACACACACACACAAACAAAGAGGCGUUAGGCUGAGACGCUGAAAGUCCGGAUUUAAAGUGCAGAAAAUUAAGCCAUUGAAUCUGCCUGUCCAUGACGUACAAAGACACACUAUGAGCCAGUAUGAUCCGACCAGACCUUACAUCAGCAUUGAGGAGUUGUCGGAGAAGAAAGAGGCUGAUUGAAGCGGGACAGAUGACAUGGAUCCAUCCUUCCACAGCCAGGAGCGCACCGACCUGUGUCCCACACUUCAUAUAAGACUGGAAGCUACACCCGAUCUCACAGCUACACACCACAGACGUCUACACACUGGAGAAGAGUCCCACAAAGAAGUCAUGACCCAGAGGCUGCAGAGAAACAUUUCAAGCCUCAUCUGAGUUUUUGUACAAUAUUUUUGCUGUAUGUAAAUAAAGCUUUCACUCCACA